rnacentral:tRNA from 1 species
GAGGGUAUAGUUCAGUGGUAGAGUAUGUGCUUAGCAUGCACGAAGUCCUGGGUUCAAUUCCAGGGCCUCCA